rnacentral:rRNA from 1 species
AUACGUAGGGGGCGAGCGUUGUCCGGCAUGAUUGGGCGUAAAGGGCGCGUAGGCGGCGCGGUAAGUCUGGAGUGAAAGUCCUGCUUUCAAGGUGGGAAUUGCUUUGGAUACUGCCGCGCUUGAGUGCAGGAGAGGUUAUCGGAAUUCCCGGUGUAGCGGUGAAAUGCGUAGAGAUUGGGAGGAACACCAGUGGCGAAGGCGACUUACUGGACUGUAACUGACGCUGAGGCGCGAAAGUGUGGGGAGCAAACAGGAUUAGAUACCCUGGUAGUCCACACUGUAAACGAUGAAUGCUAGGUGUAGGGGGUAUCGACCCCUUCUGUGCCGCAGUCAACACAAUAAGCAUUCCGCCUGGGGAGUACGGCCGCAAGGUUGAAACUCAAAUGAAUUGGCGGGG